rfam:Erinaceus europaeus cont1.604119, whole genome shotgun sequence.
CUAGAAGAACCAAAAACAGUUCUAGACAGACCUGGGGUUUUAUAGUAGUUUUGGCAGUCAACUUCAGCCUGUGUCUGUGCAGACUGACUACAGUGGCCUGCCAGCGGGGGGCACAACAUUGAGACACCUCCCCCCCCCAGCUGCACUUAGACUCUCUCCUAAUUAGAUUGGUCUCUCCACCCCUCCCCAAUGCCUGGGAGAAGAACGG